rnacentral:rRNA from 1 species
UACGGGGGGGGCAAGCGUUGUUCGGAAUUACUGGGCGUAAAGGGCUCGUAGGCGGCCAACUAAGUCCGACGUGAAAUCCCCAGGCUUAACCUGGGAACUGCGUCGGAUACUGGUUGGCUUGAAUCCGGGAGAGGGAUGCGGAAUUCCAGGUGUAGCGGUGAAAUGCGCAGAUAUCAGGAGGAAUACCAGUGGCGAAGGCGGCUUCCUGGCCUGUUCUUGACGCUGAGGCGCGAAAGCUAGGGUAGCAAACGGG